CGCGUAGGUGGUUUGGUAAGCGAGAUGUGAAAGCCCCGGGCUUAACCUGGGAACGGCAUUUCGAACUGUCAGGCUAGAGUAUGGUAGAGGAGUGUGGAAUUUCCUGUGUAGCGGUGAAAUGCGUAGAUAUGGGAAGGAACACCAGUGGCGAAGGCGGCACUCUGGACCAAUACUGACACUGAGGUGCGAAAGCGUGGGGAGCAAACA
rnacentral:rRNA from 1 species